UAUUUUAUUCCUCAAAUCAAUCUUUUUGAAGUCUUCUUUAUUGUUUAUUAUAAGAGGAUAACUUAACAGUUUACUACAAUAACACAAUUUAGGCUGUUUACACAGAAUCACAUCUUUUGUUUGUUUUUUGGAAGGACAAAAGCUUUGUUUGUAACUUCUGAGGGAAAAGUAACAGAAGGCAUAACUAGGCAAUACAUGUAUUUAUUUCAGAAGCUUCUGAGAAACCACACGGAGAACACUAGAUGUUCUUGUUGUAGCCUUCGAUGAUGGAUCGUCUCUACACUUCAUAAAUGUCACCAUUCAUCACCAGAGUACAACAGUGUCCAGUAAAGCCCACAGUGGGGGCAAUGUCUCUCUUUCUUUAAGGAAUUUGGGUAUUCCUUUUUGAAAGUGAUGCAUGAAUGUUGUAUUUUGUACUCAGGAUGCUUUUCUUUACCUCAAAUGUGACGUUUUUAAGCAAAAUCCAUGCAUUGGAGGUGUCAUAAUACCUGUUCCUCCUCUUAUUUCCCAUUUCUUCCUCCAAUUUACAGUUUGCAGAGUGAAAGAAGCCCUUGUUUCACUGAAGAAGUCUGCCCUAACUCUUCUUUAUGUGUGAGCAGAGUUGUGCAAGUUCUCUGCCUCUUUUAUUGGUACAUUCCAUUUUGGUGGUUGCAAUUCUUUCGCAGCCCACCAAUUUUUUUCUUUCUCAUUUUGAAACAUGAAACUGAACUGCAACAGAAAUGCCUUUCAAGUGAAUUGCUUCCAGUUUUAGUUCACUCAAAACAGCUGGAAACAAUUCCGACCUGUUUCAGCCGUUAACUAUGCUUUUAUAUCCGAUGACCUCACAUCUCAUUUCUCUGAAAACAAGAUUUCCAGGGAGCUUCAGGGAAGCUCACAUCAGCUAAAAAAGUUCAGGAAAUAAUCUCUAAUAUUCUAUUUUUCCUGGACAUUGAGGACAGCUUGCGUGAAACUGAAAGUUUGAACUGAAAGUUACAGAAAUAGCUUCAUAUGAUGGAAUUAAGACACUUUCCAACAAGGCCACAAGCUCCCUGCUCCGCUCCAUUCCAAAGUAUCUAGACAAAUAGAUCCAUGUACAUCUUUAUGUUCCUCGUCUGAGCUGGGAUCUCCAAUGUCUUCUUCAUGUCAGAAGCAGCAGAGUCUAUGAGUUACAGCUGUGGGCUGGAAGCUUAAAGUAGAAGUGAAACUCCCCGGAGCAGAUGCAGAAAUGAAGGCCUGCACACGUGUUCCCACCAGCUGUUAUGACAAAAGCCUCCAAACUAUACCGUAUACCAAUCUCAAGAAAACUGUGCGUUUGUUAUUUUUAACAUGUUCUUGUGGCUUCUUUCUGAUUAAAGACAAUUUAAUUGACAAUUUAACUCAA